CAGUGAGGACUAGGCUUUUCCCGGUUGGAUCCUACACGCUGUGGCCACCUUAUUGUCUCCUUUUUGGGUCGUAUGCCUGCGCCCUGCGUACCGCCUAAGGGACUGAAGGCCAAGCCAGCGUCUUCCCUUGGCUUCAGUGGCCCUGCUGACCAAGUGCUGACUGCCACAGCCAGGGACGGUUCUGCAGCAGAGCCUCGGGACCUUCCCGUGCCGCGGUUGGCCGCUCCCAGACCCACGGUGGCUCGGAAAAUGCUCUCUCCUGUGCCCGCGGUGUGCUGGUUCAACGUUUGAGACCUGCAGCGAGCAGGGGAAACCCUGAUCUCUACCUUUUGCACAUGUUGGUGUUACACACACACACACCCAUCCCAGUUGAUACCAAGUGACCACCAGUUUCACACUUGUUCACAAGAAUUCCUGAAAGUUUAAUGAUCUGGUCGUGCUAUGAGCCACCCCAGCCGCGCAGACCCUGUGUGCCAGGGACUCGCAUACUAAGCAGCUAUGUGUUAGGAGGUGAUGAGGUCUAUGAGGAGAGAAAAUACAGAGCAGGCAGGGAUAGACUCAGGUUUUGUAGAAGCAGAAGCUCAUACAAUUUGAGGAGCCCACUCUGAGAAAAAGCAUUAAAAAUGACAAAUUCGA